rnacentral:rRNA from 1 species
GUAUUAGUUGUGUUCUUGAAACUUAAAGAAUUUGGCGGUAUCCUACUCCGUUCAGAGGAAUCUGUCUCGUUAUCGAUAGUCCGCGUUGGACCUUACUUAGGGUUAGUUUUGGUUUGUAUACCGCCGUUUAUUGAUUAUCUUUUUAGAGUAUCAUGAAUUUUCUGGUUUCUUUAAUUUGAUUUAUUGCAGGUCAAGGUGCAGCUUUUUCUAAGUGUAAUGAUGGAUUACAGUGUUAUGUGUUGUUUGGAUUGUUUAUUUUAAUAUUGGCAUGAAAUUGGAUUUGGUUGUAAUGUUUUGUAGAUUGUUUUCAUGAUAGUUGGUUCUAGGAUAUGUACACAUCGCCCGUCGCUCUCAUUUAAGUUUUUGAUGAGAUAAGUCGUAACAUAGUAA